rnacentral:rRNA from 1 species
CCUACGGGGGGCAGCAGUGGGGAAUAUUGGACAAUGGGGGGAACCCUGAUCCAGCCAUGCCGCGUGUGUGAAGAAGGCCCUCGGGUUGUAAAGCACUUUCAGUGAGGAAGAACGCCUGGUGGUUAAUACCCAUCAGGAAAGACAUCACUCACAGAAGAAGCACCGGCUAACUCCGUGCCAGCAGCCGCGGUAAUACGGAGGGUGCGAGCGUUAAUCGGAAUUACUGGGCGUAAAGCGCGCGUAGGUGGCUUGAUAAGCCGGUUGUGAAAGCCCCGGGCUCAACCUGGGAGCGGCAUCCGGAACUGUCAAGCUAGAGUGCAGGAGAGGAAGGUAGAAUUCCCGGUGUAGCGGUGAAAUGCGUAGAGAUCGGGAGGAAUACCAGUGGCGAAGGCGGCCUUCUGGACUGACACUGACACUGAGGUGCGAAAGCGUGGGUAGCAAACAGGAUUAGAUACCCCAGUAGUC